rnacentral:miRNA from 1 species
UUUUUCUCUGUGUAGCCCUGGCUGUCCUGGAGCUCACUCUGUAGACCAGGCUGGCCUUGAACUCAGAAAUCUACCUGCCUCUGCCUCCCAAGUGCUGGGAUUAAAGGCGUGUGCCACCACUGCCCG